GGCGGCAUAGCGUAGUCGUGGCUACGGCUAGGGUGUUUGACUCCCAACCGAAAGGUUCAGGGUUCAAUCCCCAAUGUCCGCCA